GUUCGGAGACUGUUACUGUUUCGGUUCAGCCGUUCCUCCUUCGGUUCGAGUUGUUAAGAUUGUGGAGAAAUCAAGUGGAGCCGAGUUGUUGGUUGCUGUCAUUUCGAGUUGAGGCGGAAAGGACUCUGUGAGACGUUUGGGUUAUGGAUUUACGUUUUGAGGAUAUGGGCGCAGAAGUCACGAAGAGUUUAUUUAGUUGUCGUUGACAUGCUCUGUAUUGAUUUAGAUUAUUAUUUAUUACUGUUUCCUCGCCUUUAUCUUUACGUAUUCUGUAAGAGGGAUAGAGAUGGUAUUGGCUAAUG